rnacentral:rRNA from 1 species
GAUGAACGCUGGCGGCGUGCCUAAUACAUGCAAGUCGAGCGAACAGACGAGGAGCUUGCUCCUCUGACGUUAGCGGCUGACGGGUGAGUAACACGUGGAUAACCUACCUAUAAGACUGGGAUAACUUCGGGAAACCGGAGCUAAUACCGGAUAAUAUAUUGAACCGCAUGGUUCAAUAGUUAAAGACGGUUUUGCUGUCACUUAGAGAUGGAUCCGCGCCGCAUUAGCUAGUUGGUAAGGUAACGGCUUACCAAGGCGACGAUGCGUAGCCGACCUGAGAGGGUGAUCGGCCACACUGGAACUGAGACACGGUCCAGACUCCUACGGGAGGCAGCAGUAGGGAAUCUUCCGCAAUGGGCGAAAGCCUGACGGAGCAACGCCGCGUGAGUGAUGAAGGUCUUCGGAUCGUAAAACUCUGUUAUUAGGGAAGAACAAAUGUGUAAGUAACUAUGCACGUCUUGACGGUACCUAAUCAGAAAGCCACGGCUAACUACGUG